UUAUUCAAUAUGAUAUAAGCGGUUAUUCACGUAUAUAAAAUACUAGCUUAUGUAAUGUAACCGGUCGUAUGUCCCUAAGGUAAGCAACUUAAUACCUGUCUUUUAGGUAACAGACAGCGACACUAAAUCCUUUUUGUCGGCUCGUAAUUUUACAAUUUCUAAAUAAAUUACAAACGAACGAACACUUCAUUCACUGACCAUAUAGCCUUUUCCUAAUUAUUACAGUAGCUAAACUGUGUUUGCUUGCAA
rnacentral:misc_RNA from 1 species